rnacentral:rRNA from 1 species
UACGAGGGGGGCAAGCGUUGUUCGGAAUUAUUGGGCGUAAAGGGUGCGUAGGCGGCUUGACAAGUCUGAUGUGAAAGCCCCGGGCUCAACCUGGGAACUGCAUUUGAGACUGCUCUGCUCGGGUGCGGAAGAGGGAAGCGGAAUUUCCGGUGUAGCGGUGAAAUGCGUAGAUAUCGGAAGGAACACCAGUGGCGAAAGCGGCUUCCUGGUCCGACACCGACGUUCAGGCACGAAAGCGUGGGGAGCAAACAGG